UUUCAAGCUCACGUGAUCAAUGUGGCCCCAGUGCAAGGGGUCCGGGCAUCCCUGAGCCCCGAGAUGAGAAGCAACCCAUACAGGGGGCAAGGGACCCCGCCCCUACCUCAGAGAACUCUGCUAUCUGCCCAGAUGCCUAAGGGCUCUGACAGAAGGUUAUACUACCAUUUCUGAUCUCACCGAGAACAACCCGGGCCCAACAAGGCAAGCUGAGUCGAGGGGACUGGCAAAUAUUGCUGACAGUAUAUAGCGUCGGUCAGAGCAGAAGGAGUUCUACACAGCACAAGGAUCACAGGUUAAAGACACUCCAGUUGUUUAUCACUGGAUGAAUCAGUAAACAAAAUGUGGUAUAUCCGUGCAGUGAAAAUUAUCUCACAAUGAAGAGGAUUGAAGUACCUGCUAUAAGAUGGAAAAAGCAUUAUGCUAAGUGAAAGAAGGCACAAAACACACGUCUUGUAUGAUUCCAUUUAUGUGAGAUGUGCAGAGUAAGCAAGUCUAUGGAAACAGAAACUAGAUUAAGUUGUUACCAGCGCCUGGGGGGCUGAGGGAAGUGACUGCCAAUGUGUACAUAUUGGGGGUGAUGAAAAUGUUCUAAAAUUAAUUGCGAUGAUGGUAGCACAACUCUGAAAAUACAAAAAAAAAACCCCAACAUUGAAUUGUAUACUUCACAUAA